rnacentral:rRNA from 1 species
CAGCCGCCGCGGGAAAACCGAGGGUGCAAGCGUUAAUCGGAUUUACUGGGCGUAAAGGGCGCGUAGGUGGUUAUGUAAGUGAGAUGUGAAAUCCCCGGGCUCAACCUGGGAACUGCAUCUUAUACUGCGUAGCUGGAGUGCAGUAGAGGGUAGUGGAAUUUCCGGUGUAGCGGUGAAAUGCGUAGAUAUCGGAAGGAACACCAGUGGCGAAGGCGGCUACCUGGACUGACACUGACACUGAGGCGCGAAAGCGUGGGGAGCAAACAGGAUUAGAUACCCCGGUAGUCCCUGUCUCUUAUAC